rnacentral:rRNA from 1 species
UACGGAGGGUGCAAGCGUUAUCCGGAUUUACUGGGUUAAAGGGUGUGUAGGCGGACUUUUAAGUCCGUGGUGAAAUCUCCGGGCUCAACCCGGAAACUGCCAUGGAUACUAUUUGUCUUGAAUAUUGUUGAGGUGGGCGGAACGGGUCAUGUAGCGGUGAAAUGCAUAGAUAUGACCCGGAACACCGAUUGCGAAGGCAGCCCACUAAGCAAUGAUUGACGCUGAGGCACGAAAGCGUGGGGAUCAAACAGG